ensembl:lncRNA
ACCUGCUGGCCCCUACCGGCCCCUACAUCAACCUACUGGCCCCUACCGGUCUCUACUUCAACCUGCUGGCCCCUACCGGUCUCUACAUCAACCUGCUGGCCCCUACCGGCCCCUACAUCAACCUGCUGGCCCCUACCGGCCCCUACAUCAACCUACUGGCCCCGUCCGGCCUCUACACCUACUGGCCCCUACCGGUCUCUACAUCAACCUACUGGCUCCUACAUACCUGCUGGCCCCUACCGGCCCCUACAUCAACCUACUGGCCCCUGUCUGCCCCUACAUCAACCUACUGGCCCCCUACCGGCCCCUACACCUACUGGCCCCUACCGGUCUCUACACAGCUACCACCUACCUACCCUACACAGCUACCACCUACCUACCUACCCUACACAGCUACCACCUAAUUACCCUACACAGCUACCACCUACCUACCCUACACAGCUACCACCUCCACCUACCUACUCUACACAGCUACCACCUACCUACUCUACACAGCUACAACCUACCACCUACCUAUCUUACAUAGCUACCACCUGGGCCCUACCGGCCUCAAAAUGCCUCUAUACCUACCUGACCCAAGCCCUCCACAUAUCUUAACCACUCUACCAGGCCCUACUUCUCCACUUCACACUACUUCUCCACUUCACACUGCAACCUUUCAACUUUCACCAGCGCCACUUCAGUCCCACACCUAGUGACCCCCUCCAGCCCAGAAUAGGCCCCCUGUGACGCAUGCUUGCCUUCCGCGUGUCCUCCUCUUCCUCCCUCCUGUCAUGUCCUCCUCUUCCUCUCUCCUGGUGUGUCCUCCUCUUCCUCUCUCCUGGAGUGUCCUCCUCUUCCUCAAUCCUGUCAUGUCCUCCUCUUCCUCUCUCCUGGCGUGUCCUCCUCUUCCUCUCUCCUGGCGUGUCCUCCUCUUCCUCUCUCCUGGCGUGUCCUCCUCUUCCUCUCUCCUGGCGUGUCCUCCUCUUCCUCUCUCCUGGCGUGUCCUCCCCAACCUACCACUAGAGAGAAGAAAAUAAGCUUAAAGAAAAUAAACUGAGCAGUGACACCGUGUUGACACCGGGUUGACACCGUGUUGACACCGGGUUGACACCAUGUUGACACCGGGUUGACACCGUGUUGACAUACGGCCACAAUUCGUCUUAAUUAUGAACAGUUUUAUUUUUUUUUGUUCUGAUGUAGUGGAGUGGAGAAGAGUGAAUAAUUUACGGCGGUGCAGCUGCUUGCUGUGGUUACUGUGAAUUGGCUGCGGCUUUCUGAAGCCAUCAUAGUGUUUUAUGGCCCCGUCUAUCUGUCUGUCUGUGCCGCCCUCCCUCCUGGCCAGGAGUCUGACACUAACGACUAACGCCGAAGCCUGGAGUUGCCUGGACUGACCGGGUCACAGAGCUCAGCUACACUACAAGUCGCACCAAACCCCCCGACUGAGGGCGACAACAAACUCUCCAUCGAAAUCUCUCGUUCUUUCUGAUUCUCUCUCUUUUUCUCUCUCUCUCUCUCUCUCUCUCUCUCUCUCUCUCUCUCUCCCCUCUCUCUCUCUCUCUCUUUCUCUUUCUCUCUCUCUCUCCGUGGUAUAUAGAGACAGAGGGGCCCUUGUUGUUCUAACUUGUCUGGAUUGGCCUCAUUCUGGGAGUCCUGUCUGGCUUGGCCUCAGCCUGGGAGUCCUGUCUGGCUUGGCCUCAGCCUGAGAGUCCUGUGCUUCUUAUUAUUUAUGAACUGAGACUUUGUGAGUCUAUACCACACCAAGAUGAACAAGGAGGAAGACCAUCCACACUAUACCACACCAAGAUGAACGAGGAGGAAGACCAUCCACACUAUACCACACCAAGACGAACGGGGAGGAAGACCAUCCACACAAUACCACACCAAGAUGAACGAGGAGGAAGACCAUCCACACUAUACCACACCAAGAUGAACGAGGAGGAAGACCAUCCACACUAUACCACACCAAGACGAACGAGGAGGAAGACCAUCCACACUAUACCACACCAAGACGAAGGAGGAGGAAGACCAUCCACACUAUACCACACCAAGACGAACGAGGAGGAAGACCAUCCACACUAUACCACACCAAGACGAACGAGGAGGAAGACCAUCCACACUAUACCACACCAAGACGAACGAGGAGGAGGACCAUCCACACUAUACCACACCAAGACGAACGAGGAGGAAGACCAUCCACACUAUACCACACCAAGACGAACGAGGAGGAAGACCAUCCACACUAUACCACACCAAGACGAAGGAGGAGGAAGACCAUCCACACUAUACCACACCAAGACGAACGAGGAGGAAGACCAUCCACACUAUACCACACCAAGACGAACGAGGAGGAAGACCAUCCACACUAUACCACACCAAGACGAACGAGGAGGAAGACAGACGAUGAUGUUUAUGGAAGAGCUAAAAUAAACAACAAAAAAAAGGGAUUUUCCAAUCAUUUAAAAAGAGUUAAGAAACUUAAUGUACAAUGAUUCCCGAGACAAUCGUGUCCAGAGGAAGUCUUUUUAACUUUUUUGACAAUCCCUUCCUAUAUAAUAAUCGUUUAUUACAGUCGGUACAAAGGUGAUGAUGUUUUCAUUGAAGUCAAAAGGCUGAUCGAGCAACGAUGAUGGUGACGAUGUGUUGAGCUUGUUUUUGAACCAAUAAAACUAACAAACAAACAUAUAGAUGAAAAUGAGAUUUUGUGAUAUAUAACUUGUUUUGUUCAAGACCAAAAGCAUGGAUGUCAAGUGUCAAUGAUCAUUGUGUUCAGUCAGUGAUGUUUCUUCCUCGUACUCUCUCUCUCUCUCUCUCUCUUUCUCUAUUUACACUCAGUAUAGUAUGAAAUAGUGUUAUUUCAGUCACAAUUCAACACAGCGGUUUCCCUCUGAAUCAAGGCCUGGGAUUUAAUCUGCAGCCGUGCGAUUGUCGAAUUCGAUCUCACGAAUGAGGUAGCAUUGGCUUUAAAAGCCGCAUUGUCUACAAGCGCGAUCAAAUUGAAUCCCAGUCCAACACUGUGUAGAUCCAUGUUUCAUUGGGGUAUUUUUAUAUUUUAUUUUAUUUUAAUGUUCACUUACUUGGAAAAGUUGUUCAGAACUUGUUGUGUGGGCAUUUCACUAGCUUGCAGCACAAACCAACCGUGUGUAUUUUAAAGCUAAUGUAAUUGACAUGAUAAUACCAUUGCAUCUUGGGAUAGAGAUGUCUGAUCUGGACUGAGUUGGUAGGUUUUUUAUUUUUAAAUGUUACCCCUCGGUCAGUUCCCAGACUCCGAGCCGUAUAGAGUACCAUUUUAAUGAAUUUAGGAAAAGUUCAGCUUUCAGGAAUGAAAAAGAAAAAAACAAGCUUUUAAAUAGUUUUUAUUAUCUUUUCUACGAGCGCUAUCACAACAACUAUUGUACAGCGUACAUUUUUGUAUGAAGUAGUGUUUUUAUUUAGAAUUUUGAAAAAAUGAUUGUGUUCUUCUUGUGUCCCACCUUUUGAAUUUCUGUAGUUGAAAAUGAAAUUCAUAUGAUGCCCUUUUUUCUGAUAGUGCUUGUUAUGAUAGGACUGUGGACUGAAGUGGUGGGAUGGAUAGGGGAUAACUGUACUGAGGUCUUGUUAUGAUAGGACUGUGGACUGAAGUGGUGGGAUGGAUAGGGGAUAACUGUACUGAGGUCUUGUUAUGAUAGGACUGUGGACUGAAGUGGUGGGAUAGAUAGGGGAUAACUGUACUGAGGUCUUGUUAUGAUUGGACUGUGGACUGAAGUGGUGGGAUAGAUAGGGGAUAACUGUACUGAGGUCUUGUUAUGAUAGGACUGUGGACUGAAGUGGUGGGAUGGAUAGGGAUAACUGUACUGAGGUCUUGUUAUGAUAGGACUGUGGACUGAAGUGGUGGGAUGGAUAGGGGAUAACUGUACUGAGGUCUUGUUAUGAUAGGACUGUGGACUGAAGUGGUGGGAUAGAUAGGGGAUAACUGUACUGAGGUCUUGUUAUGAUAGGACUGAAGUGGUGGGAUGGAUAGGGAUAACUGUACUGGGCUCUUGUUAUGAUAGGACUGAAGUGGUGGGAUGGAUAGGUGAUAACUGUACUGGGCUCUUGUUAUGAUAGGACUGUGGACUGAAGUGGUGGGAUAGAUAGGGAUAACUGUACUGAGGUCUUGUUAUGAU